CUCCAAUAGCGUAUAUUUAAGUUGUUGCAGUUAAAAAGCUCGUAGUUGGAUUUCGGAUGGCGACGAGCGGUCCGCCUUGCAUGGUGUGCACUGCUUGUUGGUAUCUUGAUGUCGGGGACGCGCUCAUGGUCUUAAUUGGCUGUGACGCGGAGUCGGCGAUGUUACUUUGAAAAAAUUAGAGUGUUCAAAGCAAGCUAAAG
rnacentral:rRNA from 1 species